GCACAAGCGGUGGAUGAUGUGGUUUAAUUCGAUGCAACGCGAAAACCUUACCACCUUUGACAUGUACGGAAUCCUUUAGAGAUAGAGGAGUGCUCGAAAGAGAGCCGUAACACAGGUGCUGCAUGGCUGUCGUCAGCUCGUGUCGUGAGAUGUUGGGUUAAGUCCCGCAACGAGCGCAACCCUUGUCAUUAGUUGCUACAUUCAGUUGGGCACUCUAAUGAGACUGCCGGUGACAAGCCGGAGGAAGGUGGGGAUGACGUCAAGUCCUCAUGGCCCUUAUAGGUGGGGCUACACACGUCAUACAAUGGCUGGUACAAAGGGUUGCCAACCCGCGAGGGGGAGCCAAUCCCAUAAAGCCAGUCGUAGUCCGGAUCGUAGUCUGCAACUCGACUACGUGAAGUCGGAAUCGCUAGUAAUCGUGGAUCAGAAUGUCACGGUGAAUACGUUCCCGGGUCUU
rnacentral:rRNA from 1 species